UGAUUCGUGACCAAAAAUUUCGUGAAAGAAGUACAUUGGUUCCCGAACAAAAUUUGGUCGACGAAUAGAUUCUUCGGCCAGCGGAGCGCAUGUCCCAGCAUGCCCCGCGCGCAAUUGUAAAUAGAAGGACAACAGACACCAAUGAGGACCAAACCGAAAUAUACAGACGGGAAACGCAAGGACUUUCCGUUACGGGCGACCGCUCCUCCUGGAAACUGCCACACCAGCUCUGCUCUCUAAAGUCAGCCCGUGCGGAGUUUGACGGGACAGGCCCCAAGCCGCAGGAAGCAGUGCAUCGUGGGGCGAGGAGCUACCUGGGCUGUUCAGGGAUCAGCCUCUUGAACCAGCUAUUCACUGCGACGUCUACUCGCAUGACCAAGGUAAAGCUGAGAAGGAUGAACACGCUGGAUACAACGAAUCCGGACGCCUCGAACAUCAACCUGCAGGGAAAGUGUACAGUGUGUUACAGUGCAUCUACACUCACUCCACUAUUAUGCCAUUUGAGCAUUAUAUGGUCAAAUAAACGCUGAUGUAAUAGACUCACUUGGGUGCAAAGACCUUCCACACCAUGAGGUGCCUCCUGAGAACAGCUGCAGC